UGAGGUGUUGGGUAAUGGUAGCCCUCCUGAUUUGGGAUCAGGAAUGUGUCGGUUCAAGUCCGGUCGCCUCAAUCA
rnacentral:tRNA from 1 species